UUUAACAGGUACAGUUGGUGACUCCUGGUACUGAUAGUGACUACGAGUUAUGGACAUUUAUUUCUGGACGCCGGAGGUUUGACCCUGGUAUUGAUCAGAGGGUUCCGUUUAUUUCGGAUCCCUGUGCUGAAUUUGAGGGUACUCGCUCAGAUGGUGACUCAGUUCUCCAGACUUGGGUUCAGAUGCCAGCUCCUCAGACGACUUUGGGGUUUCA
rnacentral:lncRNA from 1 species